GAGAGGAUAUGCAUAUUUAUAGAAAAAUUUCGAAAUAUGGUAGGUGGGAAUGUUACAACAAGUUUAUAACAACAUAAGAUUUACAAUGGUUUACGACUACAUUACGGCCAGUUUUCCUUUUUUUCAACCAUCCAUACACGCAUAAUACAUGUUUUCACCAACCAUCUAUAUUUAAUCUUAUUUUAGCCGUAACUUUGUUGAAAUAUGUGGAUGUAACGUAGUCGUAAAUUAACAAAUACAUUACGGCGACAUGCGGCAGUCAUCUUUAAAUAGUCGUAAC
rnacentral:lncRNA from 1 species